UACGGAGGAUGCGAGCGUUAUCCGGAUUUAUUGGGUUUAAAGGGAGCGCAGACGGGAGAUUAAGUCAGUUGUGAAAGUUUGCGGCUCAACCGUAAAAUUGCAGUUGAUACUGGUUUCCUUGAGUGCAGUUGAGGUAGGCGGAAUUCGUGGUGUAGCGGUGAAAUGCUUAGAUAUCACGAAGAACCCCGAUUGCGAAGGCAGCUUGCUAAACUGUAACUGACGUUCAUGCUCGAAAGUGUGGGUAUCAAACAGG
rnacentral:rRNA from 1 species